GUCUGUUCCCCAGCUUGUCAUUCAGUGUUCACUUGUCUGUGUUUGUGAACAAAAGCAGCUCUGCUACCCCCAUACAAGUAGCAUCACAGGUGUGAAGCAUCAGGGAGAAACUGCAGCUGCUGUGAUGCUGAUUUGGUGAACACCUUGUGGCAUCUGACAAAAAGUACCGCCUUCAAAUGGGAAACAGCCCCUCAAAGCUGGCAGUUUUCUGUCUCUGCUCAUCUUUCCGGGUUUAUCUCCUUCGCUGAGCACUUCUCUGGAUCCCUCUGAAGUCAAGGAGAAUUCAGUCCUGAGGCACAAAUGAGAUUCUGGAGGAGGGCUCCCAGGUAGAGUGGGUAGCAGCAAGGUUCCCUGGGCACCAUCCUCUUGAUGUACAUGAAUAUCACCCACCCCAAGUGUUCCUUGCCUCUGUGCAGUCCUCCUGCUUCUGUGGGAAUAACGCCUACCGGCUGUGCCUCUGCUCUUCCUCCAUGCCCUGUUCAGCUGCAGCUGGAUCACACAACUCGGUCUCUUGCCGAGCAGCCCAAGCGUAAAACACUAAGGAAUAUUCCUGGCACUUGUUUGCUCUGGCCACGUUAGGAAGGUAGGAGGAGGGAAAAUGGUCAUCCAGCUCAUGGAAAAGAUGAGAUGGCGCUGGGAGAGAGAGGAGGGAAAGAAGGAAGGCGUGGAUAAAGAAACCAGUGGGAAGCUGAUGAAUGUCAUAAAAGUAUGUGCGGCAUUGCUACCCUCUGGGAACAUGGAGGCCUCAGAAGUACAUUUAUUGUAUGUUGUACAAGUCUGUGCCAUCAAUUUAAUGAAUCAGUUUGAGAAGACAUUCUUCAAAGAGGAACUGCUCAAAAAUACAUAAAGAAUUAAGGAAAAGUUUCUAGUUAAUUUCUAAACACUUGUGGGAACCCCUGGCCAUUAUUCCUCAAAACAGGCUCAAGACAAUCGCUACAGGGCAAAACAAGACAUGAGUUGUCCAGCUUCUUGGAGGUGAUGAAUGCAUACAACCACUUUUCACUUGCUUCAGUAGAGGCUGUAGAUUCACAAGACUCCCAGAAGACACACUAUUGAAAAGGACCUCAUUGGCAUAUCCUGAUGGCAGAACAAAUUUAAUUACACCAAAGGGCACAAAAAAUGUAUUUUUUUAAACUGCUAACUAUAUCUGUUACAAAAUUGGGUUCUGCAGUUGACAGUUUGCUGUGUCUUCAUUUGCUUUAUUUAACGAGCAAAGACGUACUUGUCCAGUUCUGGUAGAAUUCCUCAGAUCUAAAAUCAUCUUUAAUUAGCUUUAACUGAAGCUAUUUCUAUUAUUUCAUACUUCCUCCUAUCAGUCCAAAAUCUUUGUCAGCAUUUGGUGGAGAGAGAGACUUCUGCAAGAAGUAUUGGAGCGCACUGUGCAAGGCAGUGGGAACUUGCUCGACUCGUAGCACAGCACGCUGCUCUCUAUGUCUGUGCUGAUACGAGCAGGCUGUCGCUAGCUCUGAAUCACAGCGGCGUCUGAUUCAUCCUUUCUCACGCAGAGCAAUGGGAAUACAAAAUAGAUCAUUCGUUUUCCAGGCACGUAGUUUCUGCUCACUGGCUUAACUUUUAAAGAAAGUAACAGAUACAAGGUUUGUCAUCACCAUUGUGUUAACAACCUCUGAAACCCAAGGGCUCUUUUCUUAUUAAAGAAAAAAAAAAGAGAUCACAAAAUCAGCAAUCCCACACUUGCUGCUUAUGAGCCAAUUAGCCAAUAAAUGGUACGAGUACCUCUGAAAAACACUUGCAUAGAAGCUGUGCUACUCAGUGGCUGCUAUCUGAAUCCCAUGCAAUGUUUGCUUCCAGUUCCUCUUUGAUUCAAAGUGGAAUACAAACAGUAACUGAUGUUAAUAUGAGGCUUUGAAAAUGGAAACCAUUCUGCAAGUGCUGCUGCUGUUCAUCUCUUAGGGAAGUGCCAAAUAUUUGCCCAAGGGCCCUUUGGUUCUUCAUCAAUCAGUGGUUUCAGAGGAUGCAAAACUUAGAACUGAAAAUAUAAGUGGAACAAUGAAAAAAAAAACAACUUAUGUGGGCAGGCAAGAUUAUUUAAUAUUGCCAAAAUGCACUUGAAUCUAUAGUGAGUUUUGCUGCAAUGUCUUUCUGUGUACAUAUAUGGAAAAACAAUACGGAGCUGAUCUGCUCUAUUCUAUGUAUUUAUCAUUUGCCUAAUGCUAGCUAGGUGCUGGUAAAGAGCACAAACCAUCUGUUAUCCAAUCCAUUGCUGCAGUGAUAUCAUUGGAAAUGAAGAUCAAAUCAUGAAGUAGAAGGGAAGCUUUAAAAGUACAAUUUACUUGUUAAACCAUCUUGGAACAUAUAUUCAUCUCGGUCCUACUAAGUGUUCUUGCCAAACUAAGGUAGAAACUGUGGGUAUACGUUCUGUUAAAUCUUUGUAACAGAAAAUGGGCUCUGAAGAGGAAAUGGCAUACCUGGAAUUAAGAUGGCUACCUUCACUUUCUUUUCACCCGUUUUACUUUAACUGGUUGCCUGGAGAGAGCAAAGGGAAUAACUCCUGAUGUUUCAAAGACGUCCCUUCUAUCAUACCACCCUUGCUGCCUUACCUUUGCCUUGCUGCGUGCUGACAUGUGAAGCUUUUUCAUGGAAGAAGAAAAGUUUUUUUCUUCCUCCCUCCAGGUGACUUAGCUGAAGUAUGGCUCUCCAUGUACAGCCCACUUUAAGGCUAUGUGUAGUUCCAAACAAGUAGACUCUAAGAUUUACAUUUAUUAUCUCCAAAGACUUCUAAAAAUGUCAGUAUAAGAGACUGUCAUGGCUAAAACAGCGUCUUUUAAAGAAAGAAAAAUUUUCCCAUUUAUUGCCACACACUUCUCAAGUCUUAUUCGUGCUGGUGCUGUCUUGAGCUGCCCAGCAACAUAACACAACAUCUGUUAAAUGAUGCACUUGGAUGAUGUUCUGAGUCCUAAGUUGCACUCAUGACAUAUAACUAAAGCCCCCACGGCCUUGUAUCCUGAACGGUCUCUUCCCCAUCGUUUGACUGGCCAAGUACUGGAUUGCCAUCUACUGGUGAUUAAAGAAAUAAAAAUCCAGUAAACAGGUACUGCAUUGAAAAGGAACAAUGUUGCCUGUGCUUUUUUGUUUUUCAUUUUCCCUUCUUCUGUAGUAUUCAUCCAAGUCUCCCAUGGCCUAUAGAAUUCUUUUGUUCUGUUGUGGCAAACAGUUUCUGGUCUUCACCAUCUUCAAGGUUUGCCCCACAAGUUAGACUGCAUACCUAUUUCAUAGGUGGACAAGACAAAUUAAAAUGAAAUAUCUGAAGCUUUCUCUCUCUGUCAAUCUCCUUUUGCCUGCAUAGCAAAGCUGUGUGUAUUGAAGCUUAUUAAUAUGCAGCAAUCUCUUGCUGCCUUCCAAAAAUCAAAAAAGGACCACAGAGCCGAAUGUUUUGAGAAGACAGGAAGCAGAAGGAUGAAAGUGGGUUACACAGCCCCAGCUCACCCUGCCAAGGCCUCUCUGCAACGGCCUUUGAUGAUCUGAGCGUGUUUCCUACACAGUGCUCCUCUCAGUCAGGGCAGAACCUGACUCCGUAUCAAGCAGCAGUCUGGGUGGUGGACUGGAAAGAAGAAGUAAAAAAGAGAUUUCUAUAGGUUUGUAGGUUUGCAGACUGCACUGCCGAGGAAGAUUGUGGGCAGAUAUCAAAUGAGGUGGAGAUGUACAGCAACAGAAAGAAGGGUUUUGUGUCUGUGUCAGCUGAAACCGGUUUAAGUCAUGCUUGUAACACAGAAAACUUGAAGGAAAAAAAAUCACAGGACAGAUGAAGAGUGCUGGGAGGCCACCUGUGGCUCACGGUGCUCCAGCCACCACAGCUUUCCUGACUCUUUUUGCUCACCUGCAGCCUCCCCGUGUUUCUUGAAGUCUGUCCUGCACCAGCCUCAUAUUUUUGUUCUUCCUUUUCUCCUCACCACAUCCCCUUGCUUUGCUGUCACCGGAUCAUCUGUCAGAGCGCUCCUGCCAGCCCAUCCCUCGCUGCUGAAAACCACAGCCAUGAGCAGUUCGCUGAGGACAGCGCAGUUACUGGUUGCUGCCCAGUCUCAACUGGUGCAGUUCAAGAACAGCAUUUUUGAGCAGAGCCCGCUCAGACCCUGCAGUGCUAAUCCAAUCUGCUGGGCAGCUCUGCGUGGGGCACAGUGGCCACAGCCAGCCUUAAGACUCGCAUUAUGCCAGACAGUGUUCAGUGCCAAAUAUAAAAUCUCAUCAUUUAACGUUUUAGCAAGUAAAAAAAAUCACUGAGGGGAUCUGAGACCCAGGCUUCACCACCAUUCAUGAUCCCAAUGCAAUUAGGCAGCGAGUGCUUGACGACAAGAGGCUGAGGGAUUAUUAUUGUUGUUUUAUUACAACCUAUUUUCCUUGUUGUUUUUCUUAAGCGGUUGAACUAUUUUUCUCAGAGAAGAAAAUAAACCAUUCUGCAGUGUAACCAGGGUAGUCCAUCCCACCCAGUGCUGAUGCUACUCGUUCUUAGAAUAGCUUUUAUCAUCACAUUAAUUUGAAUUUUUCUUUAUAGACGAAAGCAAAUUC